AUGGGAAUGGGUUGUUUAAAUGUGAAUGUGCAAGUUGCUUUGAGACUGCAGGAAGACGAAUUAACCAAUGAUGUGUUUGGUGUGUGGUUCACAUUUGUCUGCUGUGCUGUAAAUAAACAGUCGUGGAGCAAAAAGCCCAACUCAUCUGGUUCAACGUGUCGAGGACUUUAUUUUUGCUAUUUUUUUUUUUUUGGUUUAACUGGAAAGACAUACUGCAACAAAAAUCCGUUGAGCACUUCAACAUGGAUUUGACCAUGAAUGCAAAAAAGCAAAGCUUGUAGCACAGAAAGGAUAGCUUUAAACUGAUCUCUUGCAUCGAAAGCAGUUUUUGUUUUUUUUAAACAGCAUGAUGGAAUUUGUUAUUUCUAAAAUCCGUUUGAAACAUCGUCCUUCACGUUGGAAGAAUGCUCACAGGCCGUUUGUAAAUAUGUAUGUAUGAUUGUUUGUGUGUAAAUAUGUUAUAGUCACAAAAUAAACAUUGGAUAUAAAUGAUAUCAAUCACAUCUAAUUUGCUGCUGAAGCCAGUUUUUAGGAUAUGAUGCAUUGGCCUGGUCUCUUCCUUUUAAUUGAGAUACCGGUUCUCCGUUCGAGUUCGUUUUAAUUUAGUUUUAUAGAUGCAUUUUCAGCUUUAUUUUGUCUUGAACACAUGCAGUUUUCAGGUUAUUGAUUCCAUAUUCAGAAUGCAAAUUUAACAGCAACAAACCUUAGAACUAAGACGAUGUAAAUUUAAACCGGUCGUAGCUGAACCUAUCAAGGCUCCUUUUUGUAAGCAUCGAGUUUGUAUUUUUGUUUUUUUAUUCUCUGUCAGUUCAUAGUGGUGGAAUAAAGCUAAACCUGGGCCUUUGGGAAAAGAUCUCUUUAAACUGGUCACCAACUACCUACCAAGUCAGUAGAGUACAGUACUAUAUACACUGCCUGUAUAUAGUUUUAAUUCGUAAAUAAUGUCUUUGAAGUGAUUUUUUUUUCUUGAACUGAGAGCUCGGAAUUACACUUUUGUUUUGAACAUCAGAGAUAGUUAAUUGUCAGAAUUCUAUUUUGUAAAGAGAAUGAUAUAACAAGAGCUUCUGGAAUACAGAUAAAGGGUAUUUGCACUAACAAGUGUGAUGUGCAUGACUUCAAUAAAACAGCUUCACUUUCCUUGACUAGUUUGAUUCUUUUCGGGCAACACCUAUAUCAUGUUUUUUAAUAUAUAAGAAUAUAAAAUGUAAGUUUUCUGUAUGGAUUUAUCAUUAUUUAGCAAGCAAACAUUCACCAAUGUAAUGUAUGUGCGCUGCUUCCGGUGUCAUUAGUUUCUAGUUAUUACAAAAACACUCCUUUAUGCUGCUUGAUAUUGCAAACUGCAAAACAAGGUGGAUAUACUGUACAGUACCUCUCAUUUCUUGAAACUGUUUUAAACAAACUGUUGGCAUAGUGUGUUUUCACCUUAAAAUGUUUUUGUAGAAAUGAACACAAGAUGGCAGCCCUUACAAGAUUUUUUUAUUUAUUUAUUUUAACUUAUGUUUCUGUUUUAUGCAUUAUUAAGCAUCUUACAAAGUAUAUAUUUGUUCUCAGGAAAAUAUUAUAAGCUUUCCCUCCUCAAGCACAUCUCCUUGUGUCUGAUAAGAGGUGUGGAAUGUCUCAAAUAGCUUUGCUGAAUUGUUCUUUUGUCUGGAAGUCGGGAGAGAUCUGUAAACUUGAGAUUGCAUGUUUCCUGCAGAAUCACAUUCUCAGUGAAGCCUGAUAGAGUGCCAGCUGUCUGCACCCACUACCAGAGCUCAUCGACUCCUGUCUGACACGUUCAGGGGCCCGAGGGGGCCUCGCUUUGACAUGACUGUGACACAUGGGCGUGUAACCCGGCCUGACUCAGGACAGAAGCGAUGACGGGAAGCUCCUCGCCCGUCUGAUAACACUCGACACACCCGUGCUGAGAUCUGUGCAACAUUACUGUUGUAUCAGCACUGAAGCGCAUUAAAAUCACACGCGCUCUGUUCUUGUGUUCGGUUUAAUACUAUUUCCAUUGCUCAUUUUUAGGAGAAUUUGAGCAACUAAGCUAUACAUAGCCUACAGAACAUGCUCGAGCAGCGUCUAUAAAUAAGUAUAAUUUAGUCAUACUGAAACUACAGAUACAAUGUUACUGCUGUUAUCUUAAUUUGCAGUUGUUUCAACAUGCGUUUUUGAGUUUGAACAGCAUGCUAGUUCAAUAAAUGAUCAGCUUAGUUGAGGGCCAGUAAACUUAUAUUUUCUUCGUUAUCGGGACAAUUUAUGAAACAUUAGUUAUGUCUACAAAAAAAAAAAAAGUUGAAAAUGGCAAAACUAUUUUUAACAGUGUGGAGAGCCAGAAGUUACAUUGUGUAGCUUUGAAAUGUCUUUUAGUUGACGAUGAUGCAAGGAAAAUCAGCAGUAGUUAAUAUUUAUUGAUCAAGGAAAAACAGUUAAUAAUUUUUAGUUAGAAAUGAGUUAGCAAGGGUUUACAUAACAGUUUUGGAGAUUUGCACUUGCAAAAUACAUGUAUUCAUCUUCUGAGAUGAGGGGGAAAACAUUAAAGAUAUGCAUAUGCAUCUGAUAUAAAAUCAUGAAAUAAUCAGCUAUCAAACAUGAUAUAAAUGGAAAGAAAUAAAACAUAUCAGUUUACUUAAUGAUGCAAAAAGAAAAUUAAAUGCAUGCCUUUUAUGAUGAAUUUGUAUUUUCUCAUUCAUCAGACGGUUAGCUAACUGUGCCAGGAACGUAUAGUGGCACAAGAUGAAAAUCCUUUUAAAAAUUCUGAACUACUGAUUGGAAAAAGUGUUGCUCAAAAGAUCUGUGAAUCUCAGAAAUAAAGCAGUACAGUAAAAAGUACAGAUUGAUUGUUAAAUAUGUGCCCUUCAGACAGAAAAUGUGUCUGAUUCCAUUACACUGAAUAAAUGCUGAUCUCUAACAUGAUUCAGAAGCACCUGGAAAUGUGAUGCCAGCACUAUCAAAGAUCUCAUGCAGUCUGCUUUACCUACAAUACAUCAUCCAACAGAUGAGUCGGGCCGCGCCUGAGGGCCCUGGUUUGGAGCAGCGUGUGGGUUUGAGUCCAGACAGACAGACAGAGGCUGUAAUCUGUGCCUCAGACACAUUACUCAGCUCAGUUAUGAAAAUCCUAUCGCUUCAGUCAAUGCAGCCUUCCUCAUCCGACUGAUUCAUCAUCACCGUCACUGAGGUUAAAAACUAACAAAGAGCCGAGACAAAUCAUUACAGGACAAACAUUGCAUGCAGCGAACUCGACUCAUAUUUACUUAAUAACAUUUCAAAAUCUAUUUUGGUCUGUAUUUAAAGGAAUAGUUCACCCUUAGGUCAUAUCAUAUACUGUAGAUGAGUUUGUUUCUUCAUCAGAUUUAUAGAGAAACUGUGUUGCAUCACCAAUGGAUCCUCUGCAGUGAAUGGGUGCCGUCAGAAUGAGAGUCCAAACAUGAGUCCAUAAUCCAUAAUAAUGCUUGCUCUAGUGAAAAAGUCCAUCUCCUGUUGUCUCUCACAUCAAAAUCCUGAACUGUUUUUAUUUGUAAAGUGUUUGAUUUGUAGCAGAUUUCUCACCUGAUUUAGGAGAACAUUCUCAUAUAUAUAUU
rnacentral:lncRNA from 1 species